UCCAACUUAACUCUACAAAUGAAAAUAUUUCAAACCUAAACGCAUGUUAGUUAAAAUGAGAAUUCCAACUAGAAGACUCGAUUAUGCGUAUAAUCAAGUAUAUACUAUUUGAAAUAUAAAUUCAAUGAAAGUGGAAGAUUGAAAGGAAUAAAACAUACGAGAAUCAAUGGAUGCAGCUUGAGGCUUUGCGUUAGCUUCGUUACUAGUUUUCCAACGCAAGAAGCCAAAGAUUAAGGAUGUAGCGGCGUCUUGAUUGGGUGAAGAUAGCUUGUAGGCUAGCCCGUAGUUCGUGUCGAGUCAUGCUCUGAUUGUAACACUGGGAUCGAUUAGUCUUAGCGUUACUUGAGAUACUUUGUUGCUAUUUUGAUUAUGGAUUAUGUAUUGUGGAUCUGUUUGGAUAUGUUCCUAACAUUGUUUAAAAUAAGUUUCCGCUGUAAUGAACACAUGUUUGAAGUUUGGUUUAAUCUUAAUAAAGCAUGACAAACGACAUUGGUAUUUUUAUUUA